rnacentral:pre_miRNA from 1 species
ACGCCAGUAAUUUCGUUUUAGAAUCCAAACGCUUUGCCCAACUACUUGGCAACGGUAAAGCGUAGGAAUUCUAAAACGAAAAAACACUGUA